rnacentral:lncRNA from 1 species
AAAUGAUGUACCCAACGACUAAGACCAGGAGCAGAAAGAACCGGCACAGCAAUGCAAACAAAGCUGUGUGUGUAAUCGUGACGGCUGCGCUCGGCCGGGGUGUCCAGGCAGGCUGUCAGAGUGGGUUGAUGUGGAUCACUUCAAACGAGAAGGACUUGGAGAGCCUGAAGAAGGAGGGGACUGCCCUUAUCCGCUUGCUGGAGGCCAUGGCCCCACCUGGCAGCCCCUAUAACAACAGCGUUGUUUCCUUGGCUAAAGAAAUCCUCGAAAUAGUCAGACGCCAAAAAUGAAGGCGACCAGGAAGGUUGUCCAGCAGCGCCAGCCCCUGGGUCUGGAGGACAGGACCUGGCCCUCUGAUCGCCAGCUGCAUUUCCCGGAAUCUGGUUCCAGCGGUCAGUUCCAGCACUGGUGGCCCACGGCCAUCUCUUUGCCUCUGGGCCAUCACAGAUGGAUCCAGAAAUUAUUCUGCUCGUUUUUAAGGGAACGUGCCAUCAAAUACAGUCACCCUCUGAGGACCACUUGGCAUUGUUUGCCCCAUGAAACAUGAGC